GAUGAACGCUGGCGGCGUGCCUAAUACAUGCAAGUCGAGCGAAGCGGGGACGGGUGAGUAACACGUGGAUAACCUCCUAUAAGCCUGGGAUAACUUCGGGAAACCGGAGCUAAACCGGAUACUUAUAUGUUGAUCUGCGCUGCAUUAGCUAGUUGGUACGGUAACGGCGUACAAAGGCAACGAUGCAUAGCAGACCUGCGAGGGGAAUCACCCCCCAGGGAACUGCGACACGGUCCAGACUCCUCCCCCAACCAUCAUUAUAAAAUCUUCCGCAAUGUUCGAAAGCCUGACCGAGCAACGCCGCGUGAGUGAUGAAUCUCUUCGGAUCUUAACACUCUGUUAUUAGGGAAGCGGGACCUAAGCAGAAAGCCACGGCUAACUACGUGCCAGCAGCCGCGGUAAGAC
rnacentral:rRNA from 1 species